GCCAAGCUAGACUCCCCUGUGUACCCUGGCGGGCAAUACUGUCUCAGCGCCUACUUCCACAUGUAUGGCCAACAAACAGGAUACCUGGCAUUUAAUAUCAUUCAAGCUGGACAUAAGUAUACUUUGAAAAAGUAUGUAGGAAACCAUGGCAACAGAUGGCUUCAUAUGAGACUGAGCAUCAAUAGCCAUGCACCUACCUUCCAGUUUGAAAUGGAGGGUCAUACCGGUAGUGGUUACCAUAGUGAUAUUGCCAUCGACGACCUAUCAGUCACACACGGGCAUUGUUAAUUGCAGCGGUAUAUAUUCUUCAUAAAAAAUAAAUAUGUUUUUCCAGUC
rnacentral:misc_RNA from 1 species